UACGUAGGGUGCGAGCGUUAAUCGGAAUUACUGGGCGUAAAGCGUGCGCAGGCGGUUUUGUAAGACAGUUGUGAAAUCCCCGGGCUCAACCUGGGAACUGCAUCUGUGACUGCAUCGCUGGAGUGCGGCAGAGGGGGAUGGAAUUCCGCGUGUAGCAGUGAAAUGCGUAGAUAUGCGGAGGAACACCGAUGGCGAAGGCAAUCCCCUGGACCUGUACUGACGCUCAUGCACGAAAGCGUGGGGAGCAAACAGG
rnacentral:rRNA from 1 species